AUUCUUUAAUUUUUCUUCUUCUUUUUCCCCUGCUCUAGUUUACUAAAAGCUCAAAUUAUAUGCAGCCUCAAUGUCAAUGCAGCGAGCUAAUGUUCUGCAUAGGCUUCCUUGGUGCAUCAAUAGUAAGGGUGGCCAAUGAAUUAGGAAGAGGGAAUGCAAAAGCAUUGAAAUUCUCAAUAAAAACAAUAAUGAGCACUUCGGUCUGCAUUGGGAUGACAUUCUUUGUUCUAUGCUUAGUGUUCUGGCAUCAAAUUGCUCACUUGUUCACCAGUACUGAACAAGUUGUACAAGUUGCAUCAACUCUCUCAACCUUCCUUGCCAUCUCAAUGUUGUUCAACAGCAUUCAAAUAGUACUAGGAGAUAAGUUGUAUAGCAAUUGGGGCAGGAUUCCAGAGUUUGGUGGCAAUGGUGAACAUGGGGUGUUAUUAUGGUGUGAGAGUGCCUGUUGGAGCUGUGCUUGGUUUUGUGUUGAACCUUCAAGUUAUGGGACUUUGGAUAGGAUUGUUUAGUGGAGUGGUAUUACAAACACUCAUUCUAGUGAUCAUAGUAUGGAGAACAAAUUGGGAUGAACAAGUUAAGAAGGCUUACGAACGUCUCAAACUUUGGCUUGUGGAGGAUGAGCAACAUAAUCAAUUAAU